AGAGUUUGAUCCUGGCUCAGAUUGAACGCUGGCGGCAUGCCUUACACAUGCAAGUCGAACGGUAGAGGGGCAACCCUUGAGAGUGGCGAACGGGUGAGUAAUGCAUCGGAACGUGCCCAGUCGUGGGGGAUAACGCAGCGAAAGCUGUGCUAAUACCGCAUGUGAUCUGUGGAUGAAAGCAGGGGACUUGGUAGCAAUACUGGGCCUUGUGCGAUUGGAGCGGCCGAUGUCAGAUUAGCUAGUUGGUAGGGUAAAAGCCUACCAAGGCGACGAUCUGUAGCUGGUCUGAGAGGACGACCAGCCACACUGGGACUGAGACACGGCCCAGACUCCUACGGGAGGCAGCAGUGGGGAAUUUUGGACAAUGGGCGCAAGCCUGAUCCAGCAAUGCCGCGUGCAGGACGAAGGCCUUCGGGUUGUAAACUGCUUUUGUACGGAGCGAAACGGUCCGGGUUAAUACCCUAGGCUAAUGACGGUACCGUAAGAAUAAGCACCGGCUAACUACGUGCCAGCCGCCGCGGUAAUUC
rnacentral:rRNA from 1 species